AUGCAGUCGAGCGAACAGAUAAGGAGCUUGCUCCUUUGAAGUUAGCGGCGGACGGGUGAGUAACACGUGGGUAACCUACCUAUAAGACUGGGAUAACUUCGGGAAACCGGAGCUAAUACCGGAUAACAUUUAGAACCGCAUGGUUCUAAAGUGAAAGAUGGUUUUGCUAUCACUUAUAGAUGGACCCGCGCCGUAUUAGCUAGUUGGUAAGGUAACGGCUUACCAAGGCGACGAUACGUAGCCGACCUGAGAGGGUGAUCGGCCACACUGGAACUGAGACACGGUCCAGACUCCUACGGGAGGCAGCAGUAGGGAAUCUUCCGCAAUGGGCGAAAGCCUGACGGAGCAACGCCGCGUGAGUGAUGAAGGGUUUCGGCUCGUAAAACUCUGUUAUUAGGGAAGAACAAAUGUGUAAGUAACUGUGCACAUCUUGACGGUACCUAAUCAGAAAGCCACGGCUAACUACGUGCCAGCAGCCGCGGUAAUACGUAGGUGGCAAGCGUUAUCCGGAAUUAUUGGGCGUAAAGCGCGCGUAGGCGGUUUCUUAAGUCUGAUGUGAAAGCCCACGGCUCAACCGUGGAGGGUCAUUGGAAACUGGGAAA
rnacentral:rRNA from 1 species